AUCGCGGAUGCAAAACUUCCCGAUAUGCAAGCCGGCUGGGAGCAGGCGACGUCAAAUGUAAUGGCUGGCUUAUCGGGGCUGAAUAUGGUCUAUGAAGCCG
rfam:Rhodobacteraceae bacterium SB2 pfor_17, whole genome shotgun sequence.